UGACUGCGGUUCCCUCAGUGAUGGGCUAGAAGUGUUCAAUGAAUUUUCCUAAACAAGCUGCUUGCUGUCAGACUAUGUUAUCACAGCAAUAAGAGAGACUGGAGCACAGACCUCUCAGAUCUUGGAGGCUGCGGUCUGGAUCCGUCGCCAAGGAUGAGAUCCAGGAGAAAACGUGCUCAACGUGCAGCUUUGCUCCUACUGAUUACAGCCCCACAGAUGACAUCGCUCCACAGUCACACCAAGUCUCCUGUGGGAGUCUUGCUCCUCGUUCCCAGCGUCUGCUACAGCUCAGUAUUUUAGUGUCAGAACGUCGGCUCCCAGCCCGCACCUCCGCUCAGCAAUGCCAUUAUCUUCUCAGCCAAGUCCUAGAAAUGGGUUGGCUUCCCAGUUAAUGCUUUUCAUGCUCUCAAGAGCAAUCGGAGGCUUUCAUACCCAAUUCCUGGAUUCAGUGCUACCCCCUGCAGGAUCUGGCUCCAUUUCCUCAGUCUGGUCCUAAUUCUGUGCAAUGACAUCAUUUACCCACAUUCCCACCGAGAUGCCCAGAUUUCUUCUAGCCGGCGUACAUCAAAAAAAAAAAAAAAAAAAAAAAAACAAA